rnacentral:rRNA from 1 species
AGCAGCCGCGGUAAUUCCAGCUCCAAUAGCGUAUAUUAAAGUUGUUGCAGUUAAAAAGCUCGUAGUUGAAUUUCGGGAUCAAUAUGUUGGUCGUGCCUUGGUACGUACUGGCGUCAUUGGUUUCUACCUUCUGAAGAACCUCGAUGUCAUUAAUUUGGUGUCUUGGGGAAUCAGGACUGUUACUUUGAAAAAAUUAGAGUGUUUAAAGCAAGCUCACGCUUGAAUACAUUAGCAUGGAAUAAUGAAAUAGGACGUUUGAUUCUAUUUUGUUGGUUUCUAGGAUCGACGUAAUGAUUAAUAGGGAUAGUUGGGGGCAUUAGUAUUCAAUUGUCAGAGGUGAAAUUCUUGGAUUUAUUGAAGACUAACUACUGCGAAAGCAUUUGCCAAGGAUGUUUUCAUUAAUCAAGAACGAAAGUUAGGGGGUCGAAGACGAUCAGAUACCGUCGUAGUCUUAACCAUAAACUAUGCCGACUAGGGAUCGGAUGAUGUUAAUUUUUUAAUGACUCAUUCGGCGCCUUACG